rnacentral:rRNA from 1 species
CUAGCCGUAAACGAUGGGCACUUGGUGUUGGGGGUAUUGAGUCCCCCGGUGCCGGAGUUAACACGUUAAGUGCCCCGCCUGGGGAGUACGGUCGCAAGACUGAAACUCAAAGGAAUUGACGGGGGCCCGCACAAGCGGUGGAGCAUGUGGUUCAAUUCGACGCAACGCGAAGAACCUUACCGAGGCUCGAACGGCAACUGCUACUCAUGGAAACAUGGGGUUCUCUUCGGAGACGGUUGUCGAGGUGC